AGCGAACGCUGGCGGCAUGCCUAACACAUGCAAGUCGCACGGGGGGGCUUCGGCCUCCCAGUGGCGGACGGGUGAGGAACGCGUAGGGACCUGUCGAGGGGUGGGGGAUAACCGCGGGAAACUGCGGCUAAUACCGCAUGACGCCGCGGCGUGACAGCCGGGGCCAAAGGCGAAAGCCGCCCGCCGAGGGGCCUGCGUCCGAUUAGCUGGUUGGCGGGGUAGCGGCCCACCAAGGCGUCGAUCGGUAGCUGGUCUGGGAGGGUGAUCAGCCACACCGGGACUGAGACACGGCCCGGACUCCUACGGGAGGCAGCAGUGGGGAAUAUUGGACAAGGGGCGCAAGCCUGAUCCAGCAAUGCCGCGUGGGUGAAGAAGGUCUUCGGAUUGUAAAGCCCUUUCGGCGGGGACGAUGGUGACGGUACCCGCAGAAGAAGCCCCGGCUAACUUCGUG
rnacentral:rRNA from 1 species